UACGUAGGGGGCGAGCGUUAUCCAGAUUUACUGGGCGUAAAGCGCGUGUAGGCGGCUGGUUAGGUGUGAUGUGAAAUCCUCGGGCUCAACCCGAGAACUGCAUUGCAAACCGGCCUGGCUAGAGUGCAGGAGAGGGAAGCGGAAUUCCAGGUGUAGCGGUGAAAUGCGUAGAUAUCGGUAGGAACACCAGUGGCGAAGGCGGUCUCCUGGGGCAUUCUUGACGCUGAUGCGCGAAAGCUGGGGGAGCAAACGGG
rnacentral:rRNA from 1 species